CAAGUCGUGGGGCAGCAUGGGGUAGCAAUACUCUGAUGGCGACCGGCAAACGGGUGAGGAACAUGUACGCAACCUUCCUUUAACUGGAGAAUAGCCCCUCGAAAGAGGGAUUAAUACUCCGUAACAUAUUUUUAAGACAUCUUAUUAAUAUUAUAGCUCCGGCGGUUAAAGAUGGGCGUGCACCUGAUUAGAUAGUUGGCGGGGUAACGGCCCACCAAGUCUGCGAUCAGUAACUGGUGUGAGAGCACGACCAGUCACACGGGCACUGAGACACGGGUCCGACUCCUACGGGAGGCAGCAGUAAGGAAUAUUGGUCAAUGGACGCAAGUCUGAACCAGCCAUGCCGCGUGGAGGAUUAAGGCCCUCUGGGUUGUAAACUCCUUUUAUCAGGGAAGAAAUGUACUUUUUCUUGAGUACUUGACGGUACCAGAGGAAUAAGCACCGGCUAACUCCGUGCCAGCAGCCGCGGUAAUACGGAGGGUGCAAGCGUUAUCCGGAUUCACUGGGUUUAAAGGGUGCGUAGGUGGGCAGGUAAGUCAGUGGUGAAAUCUCCGGGCUUAACCCGGAAACUGCCGUUGAUACUAUUUGUCUUGAAUAUUGUGGAGGUAAGCGGAAUAUGUCAUGUAGCGGUGAAAUGCUUAGAUAUGACAUAGAACACCAAUUGCGAAGGCAGCUUACUACACAAUGAUUGACACUGAGGCACGAAAGCGUGGGGAUCAAACAGGAUUAGAUACCCUGGUAGUCCACGCCCUAAACGAUGAUUACUCGACAUACGCGAUACACUGUGUGUGUCUGAGCGAAAGCAUUAAGUAAUCCCACCUGGGAAGUACGUUCGCAAGAAUGAAACUCAAAGGAAUUGACGGGGGU
rnacentral:rRNA from 1 species